GAUGAACGCUAGCGAUAGGCUUAACACAUGCAAGUCGAGGGGUAACGUGUUGGAAGCUUGCUUCCGAUGACGACGACCGGCGGAUGGGUGCGUAACGCGUAUGCAACUUACCUCACAGUGGAGAAUAACCCGGAGAAAUCCGGACUAAUACUCCAUACACUCUUAAGUACGCCUGUACAUGAGAGGAAAGAUUUAUCGCUGUGAGAUAGGCAUGCGUCCUAUUAGGUAGUUGGUGAGGUAACGGCUCACCAAGCCGACGAUAGGUAGGGGUGCUGAGAGGCAGAUCCCCCACAUUGGGACUGAGACACGGCCCAAACUCCUACGGGAGGCAGCAGUGAGGAAUAUUGGUCAAUGGAGGAAACUCUGAACCAGCCAAGUCGCGUGAAGGAAGAAUGUCCUAAGGAUUGUAAACUUCUUUAGCGAGCGAGUAAGGACUUCCACGUGAUGGGAGUUUGAAAGUAGCUCGAGAAUAAGUAUCGGCUAACUCCGUG
rnacentral:rRNA from 1 species